CGUUUCUUUGUAGAUUUCGGUUGCUGUUCCCAGUUUGAGGAAGAUGUGCUGGGAUCUCGUCCAUCUGCUUCCGAACUGAAUAAUAGAAAAAUGAAAUUAAGCAUCAACAGCAAAAGUGGAUUGGGCUACAUCUUUUCUUACAGCAUCUAAUGAUGCGCUGGUGGACUCAUUGGCGAAGGUUUUUGGAAAAUGGUACGUGAGACACGUUCCGCAUAAAAGUUUCCGUAUGAUCUAAAGGAAAGAUCCAAGAGAUCUAAUUGAGCAAAUUAAAAAUCCAGUUGCAGCUCACUGUUGACACUGUAUGUCUUUGUCAUUGAAUAUUUCGUCAUAUAAAACAAUGGAAAAAAUUACAUUUUAUCGAUUAAUGAUAGGAACCUUUUUUCCCAAGGUUUUUAUAAGGAAAGCAUAACGUAGUGAAAUUGGGAAAUGGUUAACGCAACAACUGUCAUAAUAUAAUACCAAUUAGAUGGACGAAGAGAAGGUACAUAAAAUACAAAGAGUAAAAUGGACAAAGAACAGAUUAUAUAAAAUACAAAAAAAUAAAAUGAACGAGAUAUAAAAUACAUAUUACAAAAUACAAAUGCUAAGAUAUACUUUCUUUUAUUCAAGUUUCACUUCUUUAUCAAUUUUUGCAAAGAAGGCUAAGAAGAUCUGAAUGAUUACAAGCGUGCUGGUCAUGACGUAAGCGACGAUGACGAUCCUAAGGAUGACAGGUGUAACGACUUCGACGCAGCCAUUCGUAUUUAUGGUUUUCACGUCAGUCUCCGAGAUCUCCGUG